CAUUCUUUUACUUGACUACUUCACACCGAAACCCUAGCCUCCCUUCCCUCUUUCUUCUAGAGCAAUCAUCGUCAUCUUCACCACUUAUUAAGGAUCAAUUAGAUGUUGAUCAAUCAGUACAGAAAUGAAUACAAAUAUAUACAAAUAUAUGUGAUUCGAAUAAAGGAAGAUGGUGACGUUGGUUGUGGCCUGAAGAGAAACGACGACGAAGAAUGGUUGAUUUAGGGUUCUUCAGUUCGGGUAAUGUGAUGGUUGAUUUAGGGAUUCUGAAACCGUAAGUUUUCUUCUCCCGUUUUACACUGAUUUCUUCAUCUGGCGAACUUCCAGGUUUUUGAUGUGGAUUUUUAUACUUUUUAUUCUUUUCACCAUCUCAUUUUUUUUUUCUAAAACUGUGAUUGUUUAAUCAACUACAAGGAAGAUGGUGAUGGUGGCCUGGAAAGGAACGAUGACAACGGCAUGUGUUGAUUUAGUGUUUCUCAAGUGGUGGUCUUAUGAUGGUUGUUGUUUAACGCAAAGACGGAAGGGCGGCGGCUAGGGUUCCACCACAUAACUUUGACCAGUUGUGGUUUCCGCCGGUUAUCGGUAGAUCAACCAGGAAUGAUAUUGUACGAGUUAUGCGAUUUGUUUGGAAUGUACAUGAUAGAUGAAACAAGUUAUGGACCAAAUCAUGUUGCUCUUGCUGGCCAAAAGAGUUCCAGUAACAAAGACCAAUCUUUGUACGCGUUGGUCGGGGUGACCAGAACCACUUAUGAGUUAUUUUCAAUAACUGGUUGUGGUAUUGAUAUCGGUAUUUAAAGAAAACUUUGACUGAGGAAUGUAUGCUUGCCUAAUUUGGUUGUUUGGAAGAGGGGAGAGUGAGUUUUCUGUUGGUAUAAGGCUAGCCUUGGUUCAACAGGAUUAAGACAGUUUGACUUAUAAGAAGUUAACCCAAAGUAGAAGUUGAAGAAUAUCAUGUUGGGGCAUCAUGAGGCAAAGGUAAAGUAUUAAUAUUAAAGCUCCAACAUAAUGAUGAUGCUGCUGCUCAAGUCUAUGGUCGAACUACAUAACCUGUGGAAAAGCAUAUGAAUAACUCUAUAAGUGUGUUUGUAUCUCACAACUUAAAUUAUCAUUUUCUCUAUAAUAUUUAUCUUCAUCUUACUGUAUAAAUGACAUUGUUAAUAAUAAACUUGGAAUAAAACGCUUAUGACACUGUUUUAAUA